UGGCGGCCCCCACCCACGAGGCUGCCCCGCGCCAGCUUCUGCAGCUCGACGGGCACCACGGCGCUGGGGCAGUGCUUCUCGAUGUAGUCCUGGAAUCCCUGCACUCCCAUGCAAACGCCUGCCUCGGCUGCCAGCAUGCUCCUACAAACCUCCCAGCCUGCACAGAGCACCAGAGCUGAACUCAUGCCAGGAAAGUGCUUGUCUCGUAAGAGAGCUCUGCAUGUUUCAGUUAUGGAAGAGAAAACGGCGCAAAAAACCUGUGUCAGAGGAAGAAUGGCAGAACUAGCCCACUUCAACAUCUCACACAGAUGAGAAUUAAUCAGAAUUAAAUACAGGUUGGAAGCUUGUCUAAACUGGCAUCUGCUGCAUAUUCCAACAAUUACAAACAUACUUGAAACCAGACAUGGUUUGAUUCUGGAGUAACCUUGUUUUCAUCUGGUAAGGGAAUUGGUUCCCAGAUCAGGAUGAUACAUGAAGAAAAGCAUGCAGAUAAGGCAUCGUUUGCCCAAACAUGUCAUCAGAAACUGACUUCCUAAAGGAUCAGGAGAGUCCUCCAUGCCAGGACAGCCAGGGCACACCAAUCAUCCACAUGCCAUUCCUGCUUCAGCUCAGGGCUCUAUCUUCUGAACCUCAGGUCACCUCCCAGCCACGGUGGUACUGGCUUACCUGGGACAUUUUUGGAGCUUAACAUCAUAACAAGUGUGUCUCUGCAAAACACUCUGCUUUUAGAAAAACAUCACAUUUCCACAAAGACACUUUCCUAAUUUCUUUUCCUUAAAUCUGAGUUGUAAUGAGGGUAAGAGGUAUGUGAUUCCUUAAACCUAAAGGAGACAUCCAAUGGAAAAAAAGCAAUCUUAAUUCUAAAAUGACUGUUUCAGCAAUGACUUGUAAUCUGUGCAGUUUUAUCUACUUGAUAAUACCCCGCUUAGUGUUAGAUCUAAAAUAAGAAUGAAAUGAGAAAAUCAUGCCUUUGAUAUGCAUUAAGUUAUUCAGUUAGUAAAUUAGUGAAUCUUAUCCUGAGUGUUAUUAGCUAUUAGCAUGUUACACUUCUUGAUGUUGCUCAUGAAGAAUGCAUAUGAAAAUGAGGAAAAAAAUUCCCUUUUGAAGUUCCUGCCACUUGAGUUGUUGACAUUUCUUUUAAUUGGUGAAUGUCCUCUUGAAUGCAGUAUUCCACUGUCUGGUUUUAUGAGAGAUUCUUCAUUUUUAAUUUGUUCUCCCAUUGAUUAGACUUUUUUGAAUGGGUAGCUCUCAAGAUAAUUAGCCUUUCAAGGGAACCUAAAUAGUUAUUAAUGAGUAUCUCCCCCAUUCAGUACACUUAAGCCUUUUUCAUUAGGGGAAUUUCAAGCUUACAUGUGGGCUGGUUGAACCAGGCCUGGUACCACCGAAGACAGUGGGAAUCACUGCAGAUUUCAGGAAGAACGAGAUCAGACCCUGAGAGUGAAGAAAGAUCAUUUACAUUCACUUUGUCUUUGGCAGAUGUCUGUUUUCUAGGAGUACUUACAAACAGUUCUUCAGGAUACAGGGUAGAUUGAGAAGGGAGUGAGAUGAGUGAAAGAAAACAAGGUGAUUCCAUGUGAACCAGGACUCCAUCUUCAAAGGAUCCCAUCAGCUGCUGCAGCUGGGCCAAGGAGCCUCAAUUAUUCUGCCUGGUUCCCAGUGCUGGAAAUGUACAGCUCCCUUUUCUUUAAAGCCAAUGUACAUUACACAAACAUAAACCCCUAAAACCAACAAUCAUUCUGUAUCUGAUGUUACUUUCCCACUAAAGAUCCAAGGAUCUUCAGUCAGAAUAUGCUUUAGUUUAGGAAUUGUUGCCAGUGUUACCCUCACAGUUAAGAGCACACUGGAUAAUAAAAUACUCCAACAUGUCACACACAGCUACAGUGACCUGAUCCCAUUCUGGGUCCUGCUUGGCUCCCCUAAGCCAGUUCUUGUCCCUUCCCUUCCUCUCAUCCUUAACCUUAAACUCUGCCCCGAGCAUUGCCAGGUAUCCUCCUGCUAAAAUACAGUCUUACUUUUGUAUGUCACACUCUGUCCUUUCUGUUUGCUCUUUCAAAACAGACUGAAACAUCCUCAUCCCUUCUGUGCCUCCCCAUAGCUCUCCCGCUGUCUUUCCCUGCUAUCUCCACACUUGGCCAUUAAGGAACCUCUACCACAAACAUGGAUUUUCCUGCCAUUCCUGGACAGACUUGUCUUCUAUCCAAACCAGAAUCUCGUGGCAUUUCUCCAUGAAGGUGUAGCUAUCUGAUCAAGGUCAGUGUCCUAAAGCAGGGGGGUUUAGAGUCUUUCAAGCUCAUGCCAUCAGUUUAUUUCCCACUUUCUGUGAACAGUAUGAUGACUGCUUUUUUUCAUUCCCAUCUGCUGUCUCGAUCACACCAUGGGCCAGCCUGGACUGACUGGAUUUAAAUUUGUCCCUUAUUUCUCCAUGACAGAAAUGGCAUUUCAGAUAUGUCCUUUUCUAUCCUAACUGAGAACUAAAGCUUUGAACCAGGCUCUGGUGAUCUUAUGGCUCACAUCCAUAACAUUCCUGCUUUCUGGGCUCGACCAAUGCAGUUAGGAUGAUAAAGUCAAAUAAUUUUAUCUAAUUUAUGGCUUUUAUCCUUAGUAGUCUCUUCAGCCUCCUUUUGUUUCCUGCUUCUCUGUCGUUUCGAAUAAGUUAACUGCUCUUUGCUUUCCCAGUGCCCUCCUUGACCCACCUGCCCUAUCCAUCUCUUUCACUAGGAAAUUGCUUGUCCCUCCCACGGGCAGUAAUUCCAAAAUUUCCUCCGUAGCCAAGAAGUCAUUUCACCCACAAAGCUGUCUCCUAAAUCUCUUGAAGAUGCCGUGAGUGGAUCCUUGUUUUCCUGUCCCAUGCACAGACACGGUGAGCACGACCAGCGCAGCCGGCUCUUUGCUUCCACCUCCUCCUGCCUGUCUGUUGGGCUGCUUUGUCCCCAGCUGUCACUUCCCUGCCCUGGGGUUGCUCUUUUCAUCCACAUUUAUGCACAGCCAAUUUCAGUGGGUUUUUAUUCCGUGCUGCAGCUUUCUAUAAGCUACACAAAAUAAUAGUUGGCUGUUUUGUCUCUGCUUGUACUGAUUCUUCAGUCCCUGAAGACCAACAUCUUCCUUGCAAUAGACACGAGUAGUUUUUUCAGAAGAAAUAGCUCAACAACUUCAGUAUGAAAAAAAAGGGUCAGAAACAUCAUCAUCACCUUUCAGGUAGAAAAUCAAUAUGAAAAUAAUGAAAUUGAAAAAAACAAUUUCAAAUAAAGCCCAAGGUGAUCCAACACAGGUUGUAAAAGUCAGAAUAAAUGGCCAACCAAACAACCACUGCAGAGUCGUAACUUAAAGAGAAGCUUGACUUUGGGGAAGAGCAAUGUUUAUAGAGAGGCUAAUUUAAUUUUAUUGAAUACUAUUAAAAUACCUAUUAAAAGUUACAAGUUGUAGUCCAGAAUUCUGCAGUGCAGCUCAGAGGAGAGCUAGCAUGGGCUGUGAGCUGGCCUGACAUGGUGAUCUAUUUCUGAUAUCAUAUAAAAUAAGCUAUUUCAAGAGCGCAUUUCCAGGCAAGCUGCCUGGGUGGAGCCCUGCCCUCACUGCAAUCAACAGUUUUACCAGUGACACUGGUGAAAUGACGUUUUCCUCUUGUUUUUAGCCUCUGCAAGAUUAAAUAUUGGGCCAGGAAACCCAUAUCAGUUCUAUUGCAUGCAAUACCAGUGAUUUUAAACACAAUAUCUGCUUGGGAUGAUUAUUAAAUGGAAUUUGAAAAGUGAUUUAUUAAGAUAAAUUUUGUGGUUUUUUUGGUUUAUUGCCCAGAUUUCCUAAUUGUGCCAUGUCACUUUGUAUGGUAGCUGCCUCUGCUGUACCAGGACAAAAUAUACACUUAAGCCUUUGGGCAUGAGAGGUGAGUCGUUUCCAUUCCCCAUCCCACUGGAAAAUCAACAAAAGCAAGCCUUUAAUAGUAUGAAUUCCAUUAUGGCCCAGCCUGGCAAGCACCUAAAUCCUGCAAGUGCUAUGAUAAUUUAUCUUUGAACUCGUUAGUAGCACAGCAUAAUUAACAAGUAAGCUGUAGGAACAUGCCGUCGCUCUGUAUUUACACGACAUUUGCUGUGCAGUUGUGGUAUAAUUACAGAGAUUAUACCUGCUCUCUAGAAUAAGAGUACAUGUUGUACCUCAUUUUGUGCCAUUUCACACCAGUGGAGCAGAGCACAGCGUGGUGGAGUUGAACAAGUAUUUCAUUCUGCUGUAGGUAGACGGGUGUGGAUCUGCACAGAGCGCUGCUAUUCAAACCUGCACUGUGGUUUCAGGCAGCUUGGGGUGGCAACUGGAGCUCAAGUGAUUUAUAUUUUGGACUGCUGCCCUUUCAGUGAUGUCAGUGAACUUGAAUAUGCAGAUUUAAAAACAGGCAGGCUAGCAUUUGGGUUUUUUCAGUAUAGCAACCUUCCUUUCUCAUGUAUAGUAUUGUAGGUUUCUAUAGUAAUUACAGGAAAUGCAUGGCAAGAAUGUAUCUGCUUACAAAGAUUUCAUUUUUUGGAUUUGUUUUAUGCCAGCACAUCCCCAUUUCUCUGCCCUAAAACCCCAUUGGUAUCACCGUACCAAAUGUGAAGUCACAUCACGUAGGCACUGAGAAAAAAAUACAAGCAAAUUAUGAAAAAUGCAAAGAAAUAUGCUGUGCCUCUGAGUUGGUCACAUUUUAUGUGAUUCAGCGUAAACUGUAAGUAAAACUAACUUAAAGAUUCUGUUAUGUUUGAGAUCUAUAUCUGGCAGGAAGGGGAAUACUGUACACAGCACUUGGCAUAGGAAUUGCUGUGCCACUGCUCCAAAGCAGGGCAACAGCCUUUAAACUCACACACUGCACUAUUGCCUGCUCUGAGAAGCAUGCACAGGCCUUCCUAGAGUGUGGAUCUUCCUAGGGCAGCAGCCAUUUACACAGGCCUUCCUAGAGCAUGGUCACACCACCACACUGGUCAAGUAACUCAACAGAAACAUGGAUUUAUUUUGCUGUUGCCGGAGAGUAAAAUUUCACUUCAGCAUACAAGAAAACUAUCUAAGAGUUCCCUGUUCUGCUCCAGGUGGAAGAAAAAGAAGGGAGCUUUUCUAAGUGUAAAUUAUUGU